rnacentral:rRNA from 1 species
GACGAACGCUGGCGGCGUGCUUAACACAUGCAAGUCGAACGAAGUGGCGAACGGGUGAGUAACGCGUAAUCAACCUGCCCUUAAGAGGGGGACAACAGUUGGAAACGACUGCUAAUACCGCAUACUGAAGGAGGGGAUUGCGUUUGAGUAGCUAGUUGGAGGGGUAACGGCCCAAAAAGGCGAUGAUCAGUAGCCGGGCCUGAGGGAUGAACUGCCACAUUGGGACUGGGACACGGGCCAGACUCCUACGGGAGGCAGCAGUGGGGAAUCUUCCGAAAUGGACGGAAAGCUGACGGAGCAACGCCGCGUGAGUGAUGACGGCCUUCGGGUUGUAAAGCUCUGUUAAUCGGGACGCGGUACCGGAAUAGAAAGCCACGGCUAACUACGUGCCAGCAGCCGCGGUAAUAC